rnacentral:rRNA from 1 species
GAGCCUGAUCCAGCCAUGCCGCGUGUGUGAAGAAGGCCUUAUGGUUGUAAAGCACUUUAAGCGAGGAGGAGGCUACUUUAGUUAAUACCUAGAGAUAGUGAACGUUACUCGCAGAAUAAGCACCGGCUAACUCUGUGCCAGCAGCCGCGGUUUACAGAGGGUGCGAGCGUUAAUCGAAUUUACUGGGCGUAAAGCGUGCGUAGGCGGCUUAUUAAGUCGGAUGUGAAAUCCCCGAGCUUAACUUGGGAAUUGCAUUCGAUACUGGUGAGCUAAAGUAUGGGAGAGGAUGGUAGAAUUCCGGGUGUAGCGGUGAAAUGCGUAGAGAUCUGGAGGAAUACCGAUGGCGAAGGCAGCCAUCUGGCCUAAUACUGACGCUGAGGUACGAAAGCAUGGGGAGCAAACAGGAUUAGAUACCCUGGUAGUCCAUGCCGUACACGAUGUCUACUAGCCGUUGGGGCCUUUGAGGCUUUAGUGGCGCACCUAACGCGAUAAAGUAGACCGCCUGGGGAGUACGGCCGCAAGACUAAAACUCAAAUGAAUUGACGGGGGCCCGCACAAGCGGGGGGAGAAUGUGGUUUAAUUCGAUGCAGCGCGAAAAACCUUACCUGGCCUUGACAUACUAGAAACUUUCCAGAGAUGGAUUGGGGCCUUCGGAAAAUCUAAGAUACAGGUGCUGCAUGGUCUUCGUCAAGAGAA